UGAGAUAUCCUGGGCCCUGUCCAUAGCCCCUACCCUCUAGGUCCAUAGCCCCUAACAUCUAGGUCCAUAGCCCCUACCCUCUAGGUCCAUAGCCCCUACCCUCUAGGUCCAUAGCCCCUACCCUCUAGGUCCAUAGCCCCUACCCUCUAGGUCCAUAGCCCCUACCCUCUAGGUCCAUAGCCCCUACCCUCUAGGUCCAUAGCCCCUACCCUCUAGGUCCAUAGCCCCUAACAUCUAGGUCCAUAGCCCCUACCCUCUAGGUCCAUAGCCCCUAACCUCUAGGUCCAUAGCCCCUACCCUCUAGGUCCAUAGCCCCUACCCUCUAGGUCCAUAGCCCCUACCCUCUAGGUCCAUAGCCCCUACCCUCUAGGUCCAUAGCCCCUACCCUCUAGGUCCAUAGCCCCUACCCUCUAGGUCCAUAGCCCCUACCUUCUAGGUCCAUAGCCCCUAUCCUCUAGGUCCUAGCUCCUACACUCUAGGUCCAUAGCCCCUACCCCCUACCCUCUAGCCCUUACCUUCUAGGUCCUACCCUCUAUCCUCUACAUCCUAGCCCCUACCCUCUAGGUCCAUAGCCCUUACCCUCUAGGUCCAUAGACCCAACCCUCUAGGCCCAUAGCCCCUACCCUCUAGGUCCAUAGCCCCUACCCUCUAGGUCCAUAGCCCCUACCCUCUAGGUCCAUAGCCCCUAACCUCUAGGUCCAUAGCCCCUACCCUCUAGGUCCAUAGCCCCUACCCUCUAGGUCCAUAGCCCCUACCCUCUAGAUCCAUAGCCCCUACCCUCUAGGUCCAUAGCCCCUACCCUCUAGGUCCAUAGCCCCUACCCUCUAGGUCCUAGCUCCUACACUCUAGGUCCAUAGCCCCUACCCCCUACCCUCUAGCCCUUACCUUCUAGGCCCUCCCCUCUAUCCUCUAGGUCCAUAGCCCUUACCCUCUAGGUCCAUAGACCCAACCCUCUAGGCCCAUAGCCCCUACUCUCUAGGUCCAUAGCCCCUACCCUCUAGGUCCAUAGCCCCUAACCUCUAGAUCCAUAGCCCCUAACCUCUAGGUCCAUAGCCCCUACCCUCUAGGUCCAUAGCCCCUAACCUCUAGGUCCAUAGCCCCUACCCUCUAGGUCCAUAGCCCCUACCCUCUAGGUCCAUAGCCCCUACCCUCUAGGUCCAUAGCCCCUACCCUCUAGGUCCAUAGCCCCUACCCUCUAGGUCCAUAGAUCCUACCCUCUAGGUCCAUAGCCCCUACCCUCUAGGUCCAUAGCCCCUACCCUCUAGGUCCAUAGCCCCUAACCUCUAGGUCCAUAGCCCCUAACCUCUAGGUCCAUAGCCCCUACCCUCUAGGUCCAUAGCCCCUAACCUCUAGGUCCAUAGCCCCUAACCUCUAGGUCCAUAGCCCUAACCUCUAGGUCCAUAGCCCCUAACCUCUAGGUCCAUAGCCCCUAACCUCUAGGUCCAUAGCCCCUAACCUCUAGGUCCAUAGCCCCUACCCUCUAGGUCCAUAGCCCCUACCCUCUAGGUCCAUAGCCCCUUCCCUCUAGGUCCAUAGCCCCUACCCUCUAGGUCCAUAGCCCCUACCCUCUAGGUCCAUAGCCCCUACCCUCUAGGUCCAUAGCCCCUAACCUCUAGGUCCAUAGCCCCUACCCUCUAGGUCCAUAGAUCCUACCCUCUAGGUCCAUAGCCCCUACACUCUAGGUCCAUAGCCCCUACCCUCUAGGUCCAUAGAUCCUACCCUCUAGGUCCAUAGAUCCUACCCUCUAGGUCCAUAGCCCCUAACCUCUAGGUCCAUAGCCCCUACCCUCUAGGUCCAUAGAUCCUACCCUCUAGGUCCAUAGCCCCUACCCUCUAGGUCCAUAGAUCCUACCCUCUAGGUCCAUAGAUCCUACCCUCUAGGUCCAUAGCCCCUAACCUCUAGGUCCAUAGCCCCUCCAGGUCCAUAGCCCCUCUAGGUCCAUAGCCCCUACCCUCUAGGUCCAUAGCCCCUACCCUCUAGGUCCAUAGCCCCUACCCUCUAGGUCCAUAGCCCCUAACCUCUAGGUCCAUAGCCCCUAACCUCUAGGUCCAUAGCCCCUAACCUCUAGGUCCAUAGCCCCUCUAGGUCCAUAGCCCCUCUAGGUCCAUAGCCCCUACCCUCUAGGUCCAUAGCCCCUAACCUCUAGGUCCAUAGCCCCUAACCUCUAGGUCCAUAGCCCCUACCCUCUAGGUCCAUAGCCCCUCUAGGUCCAUAGCCCCUCUAGGUCCAUAGCCCCUACCCUCUAGGUCCAUAGCCCCUACCCUCUAGGUCCAUAGCCCCUACCCUCUAGGUCCAUAGCCCCUACCCUCUAGGUCCUAGGCACUUCAUGUCGAUCAGUUCAAGUGCCUAGUGGGUAGUGGUUGUAUAGAUCCAAUUAAGUGUAUUGGGAGUAGGGGUCAGAGGUUGAGUAGAUCAGAUUCAGUCUCGGGGUUAGGCCCUAAAGGUUGUUUCUGUACGGGCCCUGCUUACUGUUGAGUGCAUCUUUUAACUUAUUUUAAGUUUUACAUAAUGCCUUUCUCACUUUACCUGUGAGAGCAUGCUUCCUAACACGAUACAGCACUCAUCUCAUUCUAAAGAGUAACAUGUUCCGUUU